AAGUCUCUUGGAGAGCUGAGGAUCGGACCAAACAACUUCAUAAUCAUAUUUCAUAAGUCAUGCCUACUCUCAAAUGUCGAUCCUGAGGAACUGCAAAAACAUUCUCCUCCUGCCUGAAAUUCUUGCGCAGGAAACUGUAGACAUAGUUAACCACGACCUUCUU